GUAAUCUGCAGUCAAUGCAUGAGAGAAGGGAGGGGUGUUUGCAACUAUAGAAGGUAGUCUACAGUUACUCCCUAGGAGAAGGGAGUUUAGGCUGGCAAACCCAGACAAGGGGGAAAGCCUAAAAGACUCAGGAGAAAAGCAGCAAGGAAUAGGAUAGUGCAGCCCUUGGCUGCUGAGGAGAGAAUCUCUCAGUUGGAACCUGGAGUAGAGGGCAGGCCUGAGUUCUCCUACCAGCCACUGGGGAAAUGGCAUAGACCAAGCGGUGGAGAGUGGACUGCCUAGACAACUCAUGGUUUGAUACCCUGGAAGGGAGUAACCUGGUUUGGGGGCUGAAUCGCAAAGAAGAGGCAGUGGCUCCUGGGGCAACAGAGGGGUGAAAGAGACAGAAUGUGGCAGAGGGCAACUGCAGGAAGGGGUGUCAGCUGGCAGAGCUAAUCCCUAGACGUGCCAGGAGGCGGAACCCUCCAGUGACUCUGCCGCCUUCCCCUGCAGAGACCCCAGAUCCAAGGAGCACCAUCCGUAAUAUCCAGGAUGCCUGAGAGAGAAGUAGUGCCAGAAAGAUGCCUGACAUCCCUACCACCUUCGGCACAGGAGGGUAACACCUGAGGACAUGGAAAUAUGGCUUUACACAGAAAAGAAAUAGCCCUCCACCCUCACAAAUAUCCAUGUUCAUAGAUUCAUGGCUUUUAAAGGUAGAAGGGACAAGUAUGCUAACCUAGUCUGAUCUGCUAAA